GACGGGUGAGUAAUGCUUAGGAAUCUGCCUAUUAGUGGGGGACAACAUCUCGAAAGGGAUGCUAAUACCGCAUACGUCCUACGGGAGAAAGCAGGGGAUCACUUGUGACCUUGCGCUAAUAGAUGAGCCUAAGUCGGAUUAGCUAGUUGGUGGGGUAAAGGCCUACCAAGGCGACGAUCUGUAGCGGGUCUGAGAGGAUGAUCCGCCACACUGGGACUGAGACACGGCCCAGACUCCUACGGGAGGCAGCAGUGGGGAAUAUUGGACAAUGGGGGGAACCCUGAUCCAGCCAUGCCGCGUGUGUGAAGAAGGCCUUAUGGUUGUAAAGCACUUUAAGCGAGGAGGAGGCUUUUUUGGUUAAUACCUGGGAUAAGUGGACGUUACUCGCAGAAUAAGCACCGGCUAACUCUGUGCCAGCAGCCGCGGUAAUACAGAGGGUGCAAGCGUUAAUCGGAUUUACUGGGCGUAAAGCGCGCGUAGGCGGCCAAUUAAGUCAAAUGUGAAAUCCCCGAGCUUAACUUGGGAAUUGCAUUCGAUACUGGUUGGCUAGAGUGUGGGAGAGGAUGGUAGAAUUCCAGGUGUAGCGGUGAAAUGCGUAGAGAUCUGGAGGAAUACCGAUGGCGAAGGCAGCCAUCUGGCCUAACACUGACGCUGAGGUGCGAAAGCAUGGGGAGCAAACAGGAUUAGAUACCCUGGUAGUCCAUGCCGUAAACGAUGUCUACUAGCCGUUGGGGCCUUUGAGGCUUUAGUGGCGCAGCUAACGCGAUAAGUAGACCGCCUGGGGGAGUACGGUCGCAAGACUAAAACUCAAAUGAAUUGACGGGGGCCCGCACAAGCGGUGGAGCAUGUGGUUUAAUUCGAUGCAACGCGAAGAACCUUACCUGGCCUUGACAUAGUAGAAACUUUCCAGAGAUGGAUUGGUGCCUUCGGGAAUCUACAUACAGGUGCUGCAUGGCUGUCGUCAGCUCGUGUCGUGAGAUGUUGGGUUAAGUCCCGCAACGAGCGCAACCCUUUUCCUUACUUGCCAGCAUUUCGGAUGGGAACUUUAAGGAUACUGCCAGUGACAAACUGGAGGAAGGCGGGGACGACGUCAAGUCAUCAUGGCCCUUACGGCCAGGGCUACACACGUGCUACAAUGGUCGGUACAAAGGGUUGCUACCUAGCGAUAGGAUGCUAAUCUCAAAAAGCCGAUCGUAGUCCGGAUUGGAGUCUGCAACUCGACUCCAUGAAGUCGGAAUCGCUAGUAAUCGCGGAUCAGAAUGCCGCGGUGAAUACGUUCCCGGGCCUUGUACACACCGCCCGUCACA
rnacentral:rRNA from 1 species